rnacentral:tRNA from 1 species
GGAGAAAUGGUCGAGUGGUUUAAGGCAGCGGUCUUGAAAACCGCCGGGGAGCAAUCCCCCGAGGGUUCGAAUCCCUCUUUCUC